rnacentral:sRNA from 1 species
UGCUUAACACAUGCAAGUCGUACGAGAAAAGGGGGGCAACUCCCUGAGUAAAGUGGCCCACGGGUGAGUAACGCGUGGGUAACCUACCCUUAAGUUUGGGAUAACUCCGCGAAAGCGGGGUUAAUACCGGAUAACAUUUCGAUUUCCUCGGAGGUUGAAAUCAAAGGUGGCCUCUGCAUGCAAGCUAUUGCUUAAGGGUGGGCCCGCGUACCAUUAGCUUGUUGGUAGGGUAAUGGCCUACCAAGGCUACGAUGGUUAGCUGGUCUGAGAGGAUGGCCAGCCACACUGGUAUCUGAGACACGGUCCAGACUCCUACGGGAGGCAGCAGUGGG